rnacentral:rRNA from 1 species
UACAGAGGGUGCGAGCGUUAAUCGGAAUUACUGGGCGUAAAGCGCGCGUAGGCGGCUUUGCAAGUCGGGUGUGAAAUCCCCAGGCUUAACCUGGGAACUGCAUUCGAGACUGCAUUGCUAGAGUAUGGGAGAGGGAAGUGGAAUUUCCGGUGUAGCGGUGAAAUGCGCAGAGUAUCGGGAGGAACACCAGUAGCGAAGGCGGCACUCUGGGCCGGUACUGACGCUGAGGAGCGAAAGCGUGGGGAGCGAACAGG